AUGAGUACAAAGCAUAGCGAAUUGCCAAAUUGUAUUUGUCAUGCUCCAAGUUGCACUGGCAAUGAACGCGAAGAAGAUGACCAAUGCCAAGUUGGUUCACUGAAUACUGGUUGGUGCUUCAGUUUUCCAGCUGACAUCCUUCUCAAGGCCGGCGGCCCGUCCUUGCAAAUGAAGCUAGGAUUCCGGAUGGUCGAAAUGAAACUAUGCGACAUGACCGCAGGGCGGCACAAUUACUCUAGGACUCUGGGGAAAGGAGUCGAAGAUGUUUUUUCUGAUGCCACCCAUUUCCGUAUUUCAGAGAAGUGUGCAUGGCACACACAUGUUGCAUCUCCUGCCUACAUGGAGUACUUGGCUAACCGUUUAUGCUUUCAGAAAUAA
rnacentral:rRNA from 1 species